GGGGUAACCUGAGAACCCGAAAGGUCGAAGGAAGAAAUUCAAUCGCAUUUACAACAAGCUAUAAGUGUUGUUGUGUGUGACGAAUUGAUUUACGGAACAAUUUGCACCCUUCAUUUAUUGAACUUGUUGUGAAUGUGUGCACUUUUCUUCUGGUAGGACAUCGCGAUCUGUUGAGUGUUGGUCUACGACUGAUGGUGGAGCUCAUUUAUUAUAUUUUUAUUAAUAUUGAUAGAUGAACCCAUUUGUUCUGGCUAACUUGCUCGACAGUAUUAAAGACGGUUUAGAGUCGCUGCUUUUAAAAAAAAGCGUUUGACUUAUUACAAGCGCGCAAAAUGUUUAUCGGAAUCCGACCUAGUCUCGGUCUNGGUAAAUGAUGACUGUUAGUAAUAAUGCAAAUCAAACAGACUAUAAAAAUCCAAUCAGCGAUGCUAUAGCUUNGGGUAAUUUCAGGAACCGUCUUGAAACACGGACCAAGGGUCUAGCAUGUACGCAAGUCAUUGGACACAUUAUUCNUAAAGGCAUAAUGAAAGUAAAAAUCUUUCUUGUAAAGAUUGAGGGAAGAUAAAUGGUGUUUAGCUUGUAUAAUGGCAGCCGUUUAGCAUUCCCGGGGCGUCUCAUUUUUAUUGCAAAAAGAGGCGCACCAAGAGCGUACACGCUGGGACCCGAAAGAUGGUGAACUAUGCCUGGUCAGGACGAAGUCAGGGGAAACCCUGAUGGAGGUCCGUAGCGAUUCUGACGUGCAAAUCGAUCGUCGGAACUGGGUAUAGGGGCGAAAGACUAUCCAACAUCU
rnacentral:rRNA from 1 species